AGCGAACGCUGGCGGCAGGCCUAACACAUGCAAGUCGAACGAACUCUUCGGAGUUAGUGGCGGACGGGUGAGUAACACGUGGGAACGUGCCUUUAGGUUCGGAAUAACUCAGGGAAACUUGUGCUAAUACCGAAUGUGCCCUUCGGGGGAAAGAUUUAUCGCCUUUAGAGCGGCCCGCGUCUGAUUAGCUAGUUGGUGGGGUAAUGGCCCACCAAGGCUACGAUCAGUAGCUGGUCUGAGAGGAUGACCAGCCACAUUGGGACUGAGACACGGCCCAAACUCCUACGGGAGGCAGCAGUGGGGAAUCUUGCGCAAUGGGCGAAAGCCUGACGCAGCCAUGCCGCGUGUAUGAUGAAGGUCUUAGGAUUGUAAAAUACUUUCACCGGUGAAGAUAAUGACUGUAGCCGGAGAAGAAGCCCCGGCUAACUUCGUGCCAGCAGCCGCCGUAAAAC
rnacentral:rRNA from 1 species